UUCCAGCUCAUAGAACAUGGAGCAGUGUGUGCUGAAGAACAUUGGCACCCAUCACUCCCCCAUGCCUCCGCACCUUCAGUGGGUCUGGUUAAAAAUGAGAAUCCCAGGAGAGAUUCCAGGUAACAACCAACCAGCCACACUGUCCUGGCCAGUUCAUCCGUGUGAUCCUCCAUGGACCCCACAGAUGCCAGGAACCCAAUGCUAGAUGUCUCAGAGAGAAGCCCUUCCUUGGAGGAGGUUUGGGGUUCAAGGAAGGUACCUCUUUAUCCUUGCAUCCUUUAUGCGAUUCUCUCAGGAUCCUUUUCAAGGUUGAUUUGAGUUAAUCACAUUCCCUUAUCUGUGUCACUUUCUUUAAACUGCAUGUAAAGCACAAGCCACAACCCCAAAUCCAAGCCAUUUGGAAGCAAAUGUGACUGCUGUAGCCCAGAUGGAGAGCAAGAGCACCAGGCCACAUCUGUGUGACUAGUCCCUCUGUGUGGCACCCCAGGACCAGUUUCUCCUGUGGAAUGGGAUGACAGUCCUGCCCUGAUGGCCUGCCAAAGUUGUGAAAAUGAACCGAGGAACGCUCAAUCUAAUGAGGGAGUACAAAGAUGAGGCAUGUGUACCAUGUUUCUCUCCCUUUCUAGAGCUUGCCUCCUACCUGGGGACCAUCUCCAAAGGAGAGGCCGCAUUGGUGAGGAAAAGUCCUUGCCAGGCCCAGCUGCCUUCAGGAUACUUCCCACUCUUGGUCCCAUCUCCACUCACACCCUCAGGAUUUCACCUUUCUGACCACCCCCCAUCCUUGUUUCUCUGGAUAAAAGGACACUCAUGUUUGGACUAAAACAUGCUCAUCUCCAGGGCUAAAAGCUCAGGCUCCCAGCAGCCCAGCAUUCCGGAACAUGUCUGUGAAACCUCAUUCAAAAAACGCCCCCUCAGGUACUCACAUUUUGCUUAACCCAGCUCAGGUGCACAUCCAGGGAGCCCCUGGGGAGGUGACUCCAGCAUUCUGUCCUGGCAUUCUGCCCCAGGGCACAAUGAAAUUCUGGAUGCUGUGAACACAGAAUCACCUUGCAUCCAGAUGAGUUUUGACCUUACUGGGACAUGAGCCCCAUCCCCAGAGUAGUAACUGGACUCAGUCGAGCCUACAAGGGCACCAAGAAAGGCCUCUGGAUGUGUUAGAAGCAGAUCAGCAGGGAGGGGGUAGGUGGGCUUCUGGUUGGGCACCUGCCUCCCCCUAACUGAAGCCUCCUUCCACAAUGGGAAGCCUCAUCUGGCAGGCCCAGCUACAGGCUUCCCUCAUA